rnacentral:lncRNA from 10 species
CUGGUGGGCCUUCGCGGCUCCGCUGGGUUGGCAGCCGCUUGAGCCACUGCGAGGAAAGCAAAGUCUGGGCCAUGGAGAUGAGCCUAGUCCUGCUGUUCCUGAUCCGCACUGCCCUUUUUGCACCCCAGGGAGCUGCUGCUGACGGCGCCUCCCUCUGUCGCCAAAGUUGGAGUGCAGUGGCGCGGUCUCGGCUCACUGCAAGCUCCGCCUCCCGGAUUCAAGUGAUUCCCCUGCCUUAGCCUCCUAAGUAGCUGGGAUUACAAGUGCCCACCACCACACCCGGCUAAUAUUUUGUAUUUUAAUAGAGACUGGGUUUCACCAUGUUGACCGGGAUGGUCUCAAUCUCCUGACCUCGUGAUCUGCCUGCCUAAGCCUCCCGAAGUGCUGGGAUUACAGGCGUGAGCCACCACACCUAGCUGGUAAUUCAUUUUUUAAUUUUUGGAGGAAUCAACACACUGUUUUCCAUAACAGGUGCCCUAUUUUGUAUUUCCAAAUGCAUUACACAAAGGUUCCAGUUUCGCAACCUGUUUGCCAAACUUGAUAUUUCUGUGUGUGUGUGUGUGUGUGUGUGUGUGUGUGUUUGAUAAUAGCCAAACUAAUUGGUGUAAAGUAAUAGUUCAUUGUGGUUUUGAUUUGCAUUUCCCUAAUGACUGCUGAUGCUGAGCGUCUUUUCAUGUGUCUGUUGGCCAUUUGUACAUCUUGUUUGGGGAAUUGGCUAUGCAAGUCCUUUGCCUACUUUUGUAUUAGUUGAAUGUCUCCUGUUUGAGUUGUAGGAGUUCUUUAUGUAUUCUGGAUAUUAAUCUCUUAUCAGAUAUAUAUGAUUUGCAAAUAUUUUCUUUCAUUCUGGGGGUUGCUUUUUCACUGUGUUUAUUGUGUUUU